rnacentral:lncRNA from 1 species
GGCAGGAUCUAUGGGUCAGGAUCUAUGGGGCUGGGAUCUAUGGGGCAGGAUCUAUGGGGCGGGAUCUAUGGGGCAGGAUCUAUGGGGUUUGGAUCUAUGGGGCUGGGAUCUAUGGGGCAGGGAUCUUUGUGAAUCUAUGGGGCAGGAUCUAUGGGGCUGAGAUCUCUGGGAUUUCUGGGAUCUAUGGAGCUGGAUCUAUGGGUCGGGAUCUAUGGGUCCGGAUCUAUGGGUCCGGAUCUAUGGGGCUGGGAUCUUUGGGGAUCUAUGGGUCAGGAUCUAUGGGGCUGGGAUCUAUGGGUCAGGAUCUAUGGGUCCGGAUCUAUGGGGCUGGGAUCUAUGGGGCAGGGAUCUAUGGGUCAGGAUCUAUGGGUCCGGAUCUAUGGGUCAGGAUCUAUGGGGCUGGGAUCUAUGGGGCUGGGAUCUAUGGGGCAGGGCCGGGCGGUUCUGGCCGUGUCUCGCUGUGGGGCAGCGACCUCCUGGGACGGGGCCGGGCGGCCCCGGGGUCACCUCCGGGGUCACCUCCGGGCGCCGGCCAACGGCGACGUCGCCCCCCCGGGGGCCCCCCGGGCGCUGGUGGCGGUGACGGGGAGCGACGGGCGGACCCGGCUCUGGCACCCGCUGGAGGUGGGUUAAUUAAGCUAAUUAGUUAAUUAAUUAGGGGUAAUUAGUUAAUUAAGGGGGUGAUUAGGUAAUUAAGGGGGUGAUUAGGUAAUUAGGGAGGGUGAUUAGCCCGAUUGAUGGGGAAUUGGGGGGGAAAAGUGGGAGAUUUGGGGGGUUAAUUGAUUAAUUAAGGGGGUUAAUUAAUUAAUUAAGGGGUAAUUAAUUAAUUAAGGGGGUGGUUAAUUAAUUGGAGAUGAUAAUUAUUUAAUUAAGGGGGUUGGAAG